CCUUCUUGUAGCCAAAAUAAUUCCAGAUAACAGACAUUGCUUUUCUUUUUGGCACCAAGUCUUCAUUUACAGUGAUUUUCUCUUGUUUGUUGCUCACUUUUCAAAGUUGUUACCAGAGAUUCACUCCAAAGUGAUUAAGAACGAUUGUGAUGGGUGGAUCGCUGCGUGCAGUGUGUCAUAUACUCUUGAAAUUAGAUUAGAACAUUUUGAGUUCAUUUACCUCCUACAUCACAGGACCUGCGAUGUGACUAUUGCGCACUCGUACAUCGUGAUGUUGAUGCUCAAAAGAUAUAUUGUGCAACUCUAGUUAAAUUUGCUCAUCGUCUGCUAGCAAAAACAAGGGC